rnacentral:rRNA from 1 species
GCAGAACGCGAAGAACCUUACCAGCCCUUGACAUCCCGGUCGCGGUUACCAGAGAUGGUUUCCUUCAGUUCGGCUGGACCGGUGACAGGUGCUGCAUGGCUGUCGUCAGCUCGUGUCGUGAGAUGUUGGGUUAAGUCCCGCAACGAGCGCAACCCUCGCCCUUAGUUGCCAUCAUUCAGUUGGGCACUCUAAGGGGACUGCCGGUGAUAAGCCGAGAGGAAGGUGGGGAUGACGUCAAGUCCUCAUGGCCCUUACGGGCUGGGCUACACACGUGCUACAAUGGUGGUGACAGUGGGCAGCGAGACCGCGAGGUCGAGCUAAUCUCCAAAAGCCAUCUCAGUUCGGAUUGCACUCUGCAACUCGAGUGCAUGAAGUUGGAAUCGCUAGUAAUCGUGGGUCAGCAUGCCACGGUGAAUACGUUCCCGGGUCUUGUACACACCG